GACAGAGGGUGCAAACGUUGCUCGGAAUCACUGGGCGUAAAGGGCGUGUAGGCGGGAAGGAAAGUCAGAUGUGAAAUCCCUGGGCUCAACCCAGGAACUGCAUUUGAAACUCCCUUUCUUGAGUGCCGGAGAGGAAGGUGGAAUACCUGGUGUAGAGGUGAAAUUCGUAGAUAUCAGGUGGAACACCAGUGGCGAAGGCGGCCUUCUGGACGGUAACUGACGCUGAGACGCGAAAGCGUGGGGAGCAAACAGG
rnacentral:rRNA from 1 species